AUUUUCAAAAAUUUUGAUGAAAUCAGGCAUCCCUGCAAGCAGCUGAUCGGUGUUGACAAACGAGGGGAAACCAACUAGUAAAAAAACUUUUACGUAACACAAGGGGUGUACCGAUAGUAAAUAGUUCGCGCAGUACAAUAUAGGUGGAACUAGUGCAUCUCGAAAAAUUAUUUUCAUAAGAAUUUACUCAUACUGUCAUGUCUGUUAGUCUGUGACUAUAACUUGAGAAAACUAUUUGUAUUUAUGACUUUUCUAUUAUGGUCAUUCUAACAAUGGUUGUCAUCUCAAAACUAAGAACAAAUAGAUAAAAUAACCAUCACAAGGAAGGUGAAAUCGCUCAUGAUAAAUUUGAGAAGCGAAGUAGUUAUUGCUACCAUAUCAGUAUAUUCUUCUUUACAAUGAACAAAUGUUACCAUGAGUAUAUAUAUAUAGUUGGCUAGAAGAUUGUGAAGUUUGAAAACACUAUUCAUAUUGUUCAUAUGAACAGAAUUCAUGUGGUAACUACAUGAUCGUAUAGUGUUUUUCAACAGACUAUGUCUUUUAUUGUCAAUAAACGCAUCUACUUUUUUAUUGGACAUAACAAAGUUUCAGUAUGGCUGAAAAUUGCGUACGUGUAUAACAUAACUGGAGUGAUGGAUGCAGUGUAUUUUGUGAUUGUGCAUAAUUUUUCAUUUACAUUGGUCUUGAAGUCAAAUCGAAACGUUAUGUAAAUGGACGUCUUGUAUACGAAAAAAUAUAGGUCGCGGGGGAACAACAUAUACUCUGUAUGACGGAAGAAGUAGCAAGAUAUCUCAGUGCGCUGCUCAUUCUUGUUCCGGGAAAUACUUCACCGGAUAGUGAUCCAGAUUCCUGGAUCAGCAACUGCAACCAGUAAUGCUUCUACGUCAAUCAUGAACCUUUCAACAGACAACGGCGUAAUGAGUGAUGCAGCAUUGAACUGAUGUCACCACAUGAGCUGAAGUGACAGUUCCCAGUUCCAGACGGUUUAUGUCGACCAGCGGGCGUGAAAACGCACCGUUUCCGACGACAUCUGCCAUCGUAGCAUGAGGAUUCCUUCCUGAUGAGGACUCUGAGUCAAAUAUCGCCAUUCCCGUUGGAGGCUUGCUAUCCCAAGUAACAUUUUUAAUACUAAUAAAUACUUGUAGCUGUCUUCAAUGCUACAUAAUAAA